UAGAUACCCUAUUAUACUAAUAAGAAAUUUAAAAUACUUAAUUAAUAAACAGUUAUGACCUUGAAAUUUAAAGAAUUUGGCGGUAUUUUAGUCUGAUUAAAGGAACCUGUUUAAUAAAUGAUACAACACAUAUAAUUUUUCUUCUUUUUUGUAAGUACAGCUUGUAUACCGUCAUUACUUAAGAUAUUUUGUAAAUAUAAAUAUCAAGAUAAAGUUGUUAUUUAAAAUAUUAGAUCAAGGUGCAGCUAAUAAAGAAGUAAGGAAUGGGUUACAAUAAAAUUAAUUUAAAACGGAUGUAAAGGUUGAAUAAUUUUUAUUGAAGGUGGAUUUAGGAGUAAUUAUAUUUUAAUAUGUUAUAAUGAUUAUGUAGCUCUAAAAUAUGUACACAUCGCCC
rnacentral:rRNA from 1 species